rnacentral:rRNA from 1 species
GACAACGACUUCGCCACGCUGAGUACACCAAGUCUCGUCCGAUCACUGAAGUUAAGCGACUUCGGGCGUGGUUAGUACUCGGACCGUGUGGGAGAUCACGUUUUGUUGGUU